rnacentral:rRNA from 1 species
GGCUCAUUAAAUCAGUUAUCGUUUAUUUGAUAGUACCUUACUACUUGGAUAACCGUGGUAAUUCUAGAGCUAAUACAUGCUGAAAACCCCGACUUCGGAAGGGGUGUAUUUAUUAGAUAAAAAACCAAUGCCCUUCGGGGCUCCUUGGUGAUUCAUAAUAACUUCUCAGAUCGCAUGGCCUUGCGCCGGCGACGGUUCAUUCAAAUUUCUGCCCUAUCAACUUUCGAUGGUAAGGUAUUGGCUUACCAUGGUUUCAACGGGUAACGGGGAAUUAGGGUUCGAUUCCGGAGAGGGAGCCUGAGAAACGGCUACCACAUCCAAGGAAGGCAGCAGGCGCGCAAAUUACCCAAUCCCGACACGGGGAGGUAGUGACAAUAAAUACUGAUACAGGGCUCUUUUGGGUCUUGUAAUUGGAAUGAGUACAAUUUAAACCUCUUAACGAGGAACAAUUGGAGGGCAAGUCUGGUGCCAGCAGCCGCGGUAAUUCCAGCUCCAAUAGCGUAUAUUAAAGUUGUUGCAGUUAAAAAGCUCGUAGUUGAACCUUUGGCCUGGCUGGCAGGUCCGCCUCACCGCGUGCACUUGUCCGGCCGGGCCUUCUUUUCUGGAGAACCGCAUGCCCUUCACUGGGUGUGUUGGGGACCAGGACUUUUACUUUGAAAAAAUUAGAGUGUUCAAAGCAGGCCUUUGCUCGAAUACGUUAGCAUGGAAUAAUAGAAUAGGACGUGCGGUCCUAUUUUGUUGGUUUCUAGGACCGCCGUAAUGAUUAAUAGGGACAGUCGGGGGCAUCAGUAUUCAAUUGUCAGAGGUGAAAUUCUUGGAUUUAUUGAAGACUAACUACUGCGAAAGCAUUUGCCAAGGAUGUUUUCAUUAAUCAGUGAACGAAAGUUAGGGGAUCGAAGACGAUCAGAUACCGUCGUAGUCUUAACCAUAAACUAUGCCGACUAGGGAUCGGGCGGUGUUAUUAUUUUGACUCGCUCGGCACCUUA